GCAGAUAAUAUAUUAUAAUACAUAUAGGACUGCGUUUAUUUACGUAAUCUACGAAGGAUUGUGAAUUGGGAAUGGACGGCCAAGCCAGCCAGCCACCGCUAAAGUCCACAACGUGGGCUGCCAAAGAUGCCAACUUGCAAUUUUCGGAUAGGGUUUUGAAACUCACAAAUGUUGGCUAUAAAAUGGCACAUUCCAUUGCUUAUAAAAUACCCAAAUCAAAAUUAAAAGGACAGAAAGAGUCUUCCAUACCAUACACAUAUCUACCCAACCUUCAACAUGGCUGAAGAAUCUGCUCAAAGAAAAACUCGAUGGCCAGAGCUUGUGUUUGUAGAAUUUUCUACUGCUGCUAGGAUAAUAGAAAAAGAGAAUCCCGAUGUGAAGGCCAUCAAAAUUCUAGCUGAUAGUCCCAGAAUUGAGAAUUUUGAUCCUAGUCGAGUUUGGGUUGAUUGCAAUGUAGAAGACAGGGUUGUUAAAGUGCCCAGCGUCGGUUAAAGAUUGGAUGGUGUUUAUAAGGUCAAUGAUAUGUAUAAAGUCUAUAUGCAUUAUGUCCAGGUGAAUUAUAUGCUUAAUUAAGUCAUUCCAAUAUUGUACUAAUAAGUGGUAUUUUUACCAUUUCAACUCUCAUUCAAGUGUGUUUAUUUGUAAUAAAUUGUUGAGUUAAUUGUUCCAAUAAACAUCAACAAAGACCUAUCUUUAGA